UACGAAGGGGGCGAGCGUUGUUCGGAUUUACUGGGCGUAAAGGGCGCGUAGGCGGCGAAUCAAGUCAGCUGUGAAAUCUCCGAGCUUAACUCGGAACGGUCAGCUGAUACUGUUUUGCUAGAGUGCAGAAAGGGCAACCGGAAUUCUUGGUGUAGCGGUGAUAUGCGCAGAUAUCAGGAGGAACACCGGUGGCGAAGGCGGGUCUCUGGGCCGAUACUGACGCUGAGGAGCGAAAGCGUGGGGAGCGAACAGG
rnacentral:rRNA from 1 species